rnacentral:ncRNA from 1 species
UGCGGCUUAAUUUGAUUCAACAUGGAAAAACUUACCCGGCCCGGACACAGGAAGGACUGACAGAUUAAGAGCUCUUUCUUGAUUCUGUGGGUGGUGGUGCAUGGCAGUUCUUAGUUGUUGGAGCGAUUUGUCUGGUUAAUUCCGAUAACGAGCGAGACUCUAACCUACUAAAUAGACGCUUCGAUUCUUCCAGUUGGACGUUCUUCUUAGAGGGACAAGCAGCUGCACGAGACAGAGCAGUAACAUAAGACGUGCUCAAACACGAAUACUCACGUG